UACGGGGGGAGCAAGCGUUGUUCGGAUUUACUGGGCGUAAAGGGCGCGUAGGCGGCCACCGCAAGUCGACUGUGAAAUCUCCGGGCUUAACCCGGAAAGGUCAGCCGAUACUGCGGGGCUAGAGUGCAGAAGGGGCAACUGGAAUUCUCGGUGUAGCGGUGAAAUGCGUAGAUAUCGGGAGGAACACCUGUGGCGAAAGCGGCGCACUGGACCAUAACUGACGCUGAGGCGCGAAAGGUAGGGGAGCAAACAGG
rnacentral:rRNA from 1 species